CAAUAGCGUAUAUUAAAGUUGUUGCAGUUAAAAAGCUCGUAGUUGGAUUUGUGGCGUACGGUGUGUUCCGGGCACUUGUUGUCUGAGUAACCUGCUGUUGCCAUCCUUGGGUGGAACCUGUGUGGCAUUAGGUUGUCGUGCAGGGGAUGCUCAUCAUUUACUGUGAAAAAAUUAGAGUGUUCAAAGCAGGCUUAUGCCGUUGAAUAUAUUAGCAUGGAAUAAUGAGAUAGGACUUUUUUGCUAUUUUGUUGGUUUGCGCAAGAAGGUAAUGAUUAAUAGGGACAGUUGGGGGUAUUCGUAUUCCAUUGUCAGAGGUGAAAUUCUUGGAUUUUUGGAAGACGAACUACUGCGAAAGCAUUUACCAAGGAUGUUUUCAUUAA
rnacentral:rRNA from 1 species